rnacentral:rRNA from 1 species
UACAGAGGUCCCGAGCGUUGUUCGGAUUCACUGGGCGUAAAGGGUGCGUAGGUGGUGAGGUAAGUCGGAUGUGAAAUCUCCGAGCUCAACUCGGAAAUGGCAUUGGAAACUACCUUGCUAGAGGGUUGGAGGGGGGACUGGAAUGCUUGGUGUAGCAGUGAAAUGCGUAGAUAUCAAGAGGAACACCUGCGGCGAAGGCGGGUUGCUGGGCCGACACUGACGCUGAAGCGCGAAAGCCAGGGGAGCGAACGGG